rnacentral:rRNA from 1 species
GAAGCACCGGCUAACUCCGUGCCAGCAGCCGCGGUAAUACGGAGGGUGCGAGCGUUAAUCGGAAUUACUGGGCGUAAAGCGUACGCAGGCGGUUUGUUAAGCGAGAUGUGAAAGCCCCGGGCUCAACCUGGGAACUGCAUUUCGAACUGGCAAACUAGAGUGUGAUAGAGGGUGGUAGAAUUUCAGGUGUAGCGGUGAAAUGCGUAGAGAUCUGAAGGAAUACCGAUGGCGAAGGCAGCCACCUGGGUCAACACUGACGCUCAUGUACGAAAGCGUGGGGAGCAAACGGGAUUAGAUACCCCGGUAGUCCACGCCGUAAACGAUGUCUACUAGAAGCUCGGAACCUCGGUUCUGUUUUUCAAAGCUAACGCAUUAAGUAGACCGCCUGGGGAGUACGGCCGCAAGGUUAAAACUCAAAUGAAUUGACGGGG